rnacentral:rRNA from 1 species
AGAGUUUGAUCCUGGCUCAGGACGAACGCUGGCGGUGUGCUUCACACAUGCAAGUCGAGCGGAUGAAGUAGGUAGCUUGCUACUUAUGGAUUUAGCGGCGGACGGGUGAGUAAUAUAUAGGAAUCUGCCCUAAUGCGGGGAACAACAGACCGAAAGGUCUGCUAAUGCCCCAUAGGUAUGCAGUCUUCGGAUUGUAUAUUAAAGGAGUAAUCCACUUUAGGAUGAGCCUGUAUCCGAUUAGCUUGUUGGCGGGGUAAUGGCCCACCAAGGCUACGAUCGGUAGUUGGUCUGAGAGGAUGAUCAGCCACAAUGGGACUGAGACACGGCCCAUACUCCUACGGGAGGCAGCAGUGGGGAAUUUUACACAAUGGGGGAAACCCUGAUGUAGCGACACCGCGUGAACGAAGAAGCCUUUUGGGGUGUAAAGUUCUGUCGGCUGGAACGAAAAAAAUGACGGUACCAGCAAAGGAAGCAUCGGCUAACUACGUGCCAGCAGCCGCGGUAAGACGUAGGAUGCGAGCGUUGUCCGGAUUUAUUGGGCGUAAAGAGUUCGUAGGCGGUUAUUUAAGUCUGAUGUUAAAUACUGUGGCCUAACCACAGAACUGCAUUGGAUACUGGAUGACUUGAGUGCGGUAGAGGCAAGUGGAAUUCCCAGUGUAGCGGUGAAAUGCGUAGA